rnacentral:rRNA from 1 species
AUUGAACGCUGGCGGCAGGCCUAACACAUGCAAGUCGAGCGGAUGAAGGGAGCUUGCUCCUGGAUUCCGCGGCGGACGGGUGAGUAAUGCCUAGGAAUCUGCCUGGUAGUUGGGGAUAACGUCCGUACACGGGCGCUAAUACCGCAUACGUCCUGAGGGAGAAAGUGGUGGAUCUUCGGACCUCACGCUAUCAGAUGAGCCUAGGUCGGAUUAGCUAGUUGGUGGGGUAAAGGCCUACCAAGGCGACGAUCCGUAACUGGUCUGAGAGGAUGAUCAGUCACACUGGAACUGAGACACGGUCCAGACUCCUACGGGAGGCAGCAGUGGGGAAUAUUGGACAAUGGGCGAAAGCCUGAUCCAGCCAUGCCGCGUGUGUGAAGAAGGUCUUCGGAUUGUAAAGCACUUUAAGUUGGGAGGAAGGGAAGUAAGUUAAUACCUGGCUGUUUUGACGGUACCAACAGAAUAAGCACCGGCUAACUUCGUG